UACGAAGGGGGCUAGCGUUGUUCGGAAUCACUGGGCGUAGAGCGCACGCAGGCGGAUCGAUAAGUCGGGGGUGAAAGCCCAGGGCUCAACCUUGGAAUUGCCUUUGAAACUAGGUGGCUUGAACCUAGGAGAGGCGAGUGGAAUUCCUAGUGUAGAGGUGAAAUUCGUAGAUAUUAGGAAGAACACCAGUGGCGAAGGCGGCUCACUGGCCCGGUACUGACGCUCAGGUGCGAAAGCGUGGGGAGCAAACAGG
rnacentral:rRNA from 1 species